rnacentral:rRNA from 1 species
GACGAACGCUGGCGGCGUGCCUAAUACAUGCAAGUAGAACGCUGAAGGAGGAGCUUGCUCUUCUGGAUGAGUUGCGAACGGGUGAGUAACGCGUAGGUAACCUGCCUGGUAGCGGGGGAUAACUAUUGGAAACGAUAGCUAAUACCGCAUAACAGUAGAUGUUGCAUGACAUUUGCUUAAAAGUUGCAAUUGCAUCACUACCAGAUGGACCUGCGUUGUAUUCGCUAGUUGGUGGGGUAACGGCUCACCAAGGCGACGAUACAUAGCAGACCUGAGAGGGGGGUCGGCCCAACUGGGACUGGGACACGGCCCAGAAUCCUACGGGGGGCAGCAGUAGGGAAUCUUCGGCAAUGGACGGAAGUCUGACCGAGCAACGCCGCGUGAGUGAAGAAGGUUUUCGGAUCGUAAAGCUCUGUUGUAAGAGAAGAACGAGUGUGAGAGUGGAAAGUUCACACUGUGACGGUAUCUUACCAGAAAGGGACGGCUAACUACGUG